UACCCCAGCAGGGAGAGAGGUGGCUGGGUCCGAGCUUUACCCCAGCAGGAAGAGGGGUGGCUGGGUCCGAGCUAUCCAGCCUUUCCUGGUCCGAUAGGGUAGACCUGGUAUGACAUGGCAUGGACAGACUGCCAUGAUACUGAAUGUGGUUCUAUGGGCAUUCUCACACUAGGAGCAGCAAUCACUGACUGACCCAUUGGUCUGACUGACUGGCUGACUCACUUGACCUGACUGGCUUUCUGACUAACUCACUUUACUGACUGGCUGGCUGACUCAGCUGGCCUGACUGACUCGUUUUACUCUUUUCCUGACCUCAAAGCUCUUUGAGGAUGACCCAUUCUACACCCGGUUAUCUGUCGAGGAGCCUUGGUUAUUUGAGGCCUCUGCUGUCUCUUGCCGUUCUGGUGUUUGGGUUUCCCUACUAACUCAAAUGUAGCGGCCAAAGUCUUAUUUUAUGCAUGAGGAUGGAUAACUAAGGGAUUUCUGUUUAGUUUUUUAGAAUGGCUAAAAUGGAGGCAAGGAGCCUGUUAUAUUUAUUCAGACCUGAACUGUGUGACACUGAACCCCCCCCCCUCCUCUUUUCUGCCUCUUGCCUGGAAACCUGACGCCCUGGACGAAAACCACACAGUCCUGGUCCUGGGGCCACGCUCCAAAUCAAAUGUUGCCUUUAACCCACAGCACUGACCUCUGACCCAAGGCAGGCAGCCAAUCAGAAUGAGAGAAGAAGAAUAAUGUCAAAAGCGGGGAUGUCCUGCAAGUUCUCCGGUCAUGUGAUGGAGCGGUCUCCUUAUAAUGCAAACGAAGCCCGCGUUAAAUCAAAGAGGAGGAGGGGGCGUCGGUUGGUCUGUCUGUCUACUGUAACCAUAGCAGCCUUUCUUUUCCCAGCUCUGCGAGUUCAGCCGGUCCCAGAUGUCAUCUGUUGUGGCCUACUCCAUCGACAGUGUCAAACCAAGUCUUUGAUGUGACCGUUCAAUAAGGAGUUGGCAGUAGAACAGAAACGGAAGGGAAACCCGGCUAGCUGGGAUGAUGUCUUAAAACCCAACGGGCCGGCGUGCUGCUGUGUCCAACACUGUACUUCUUCUAAAGUCCGCUACUGUAACGGCCAUCCAGGUCACUGCGGGAAGUUCGGCCCUGGACGCAUGCAGAAACCCAGUCAAAGUCCUGGGACUAAAGGAACGUCUAGCUCCCCUAGUGGCCCAAAUGGGGAGUGAUCCGCGGCACCCCUAGUGGAGAAAGUGGGGACUGUUUCACGGCACCCCUAGUGGACAAGGUGGGGAUUGCUCCACAGCACCUCUAGUGGACAAGGUGGGGAUUGCUCCACAGUACCCCUAGUGGGAGUCUCAUUACUCAGAGAGGAGCCUCUAUUAGCCAGAUGUUCAUGUCCCCUCUUUUUCAGAAAUACCUAUUCAUUUUAAAAGACUGAAAUAACAUGCAUCAUGCUCAGAUGUGCCUUUUAUUUUGUUUCCUAUUUUACAGAGUAAGCAAAAGGUGUCUAAAAUGCUAUAAAAAAAAAAAAACAACAAAAGAAAAUAAUACAGUUGCCUAUGUAAUGCUUAGAACAAAAGCUAUACACUACAAAAAUUGUACAGGUUUGUGGAUACUGUGUAUAUAACAUCUAUACACUAACUAGAUCAUUUGUAAAAAGUCACUUCUUCUCAUUGUAAUAUACAGUAUAUAUAUCUCUCACUUCCCCGUUUCCUCCCUCCCUUGGCUGCCCUAAGGUCAAACGUUGCCUAACAAUCCAAUGCUGCUACGGUCAGACAAAACAGGUCGGUGUGUCCCUCACGUACGUACUUAAAGACAAUCCCCCAGGCUAGAAUCUAGACCCUGGGACUAUAACGGGGGAAGGCCACGCCUACCUAGCCUGGGUUCUGGGUCCGCUUGUGCCGUCUCCGUCUGCUGCUGCCACAGCACAACCUGUCGACCGGGCUUGAAUGACCCGGCGGGGUUGUCAGUCCUGACCACAGAAGUAGGCUGGGCGGUACAAACCAGAACCGUUACUCAGGCUGCCUCCUCCCAGUCGGCAUUAAAAAACAAAGACGUGUCCCAAAUGGCACCCUUCUGCCUCCUGGUACACUGCCCCUAGUGCACUACAAAGGGAAAACGGGGCCAUUUAGGACACAGCGACAGUAAGUCUACAGCCGAACUUAAAGCACUUGCUUAGUGUGCUUUUCUUUUUUCUUUUUUGUAAGUGCGUCCCUCUAACUAAUGAUGUCUUCUAACAUUUGGUCUCAUUUUGAAAAGACUUUCAAAUGCUAAUUGCUCGAGUUGUUAAAAACCAAGGUUGGAAUUGUAGCAUUGAGGUUUGCCUUGCUACUAUAUGAGCUUUACUUAAAAGAUUGAAUUGGAUCUUUUCUUGAGUGAGAACAGAACACUGUGCACUUUAGACUGCACUGCUGCAUGAGAUCUCAGUGAAACAGUCGCUGUCAAAGCCAUGAGGAAUUUGUGACUGUGCUACCGUAGGGUGGCAAGAAUCUGGUAACUUUCCCCAUAUUCUCUGGAUUUCUUCGAGAAAUCCUUGCUGGAGGAGUCCUGGAUUUCCUGCAAGUUUCCUGGGAUUUCUUGAAAACCAGGGAUGUUUGGGAGAGUCCUGGAAAAUGUGCAACCCUACUGACGGUCCUAGGCUACUGUUAACUAACCUGCUCCAUGGUUCCAGACCACAGAGACACCUGAUGCCUGCUUCGCGCUAUACUGGACUGACACAUCUCACUGUCCUUUACGGGGGUUUCCAGUAACUGUUCUGGAUGUGUGAACCGGGUGUAACUGGGCUCGGCCCGUAUGGCUUGGCUUGUUAAAGCUCAGUGUCAGAGCCGUUAGUUAAGAGAGAGAUUUGCCAGGUUUCAGUGUGUCUACGCUGUGGUGAUGUAACGAUAGGAGUGUGCCCUCUAACAGUUUACUACGAAGUGCCCGCUGUAAACAAACAAAACAAUGAAAUUAAGAAAAAAUUAAAACAUUUAUUUAGCAUUCUGGGUGAUCCUGUAUGUGUCCACUUCUUCACUAUGUUGUGGUGUUAGCAGUUAACAUAUCUUGAUCUGAAAGAUAAACCGCACAAUUUAGUAUUAUUACUUAGCCACAGCUGUGGAGUAGAAGGCGGAGCUCUUGCAACCUUCAGACUGAAACCCCAUUGGUCAAACUCUCUCUUUACUCGGCUCUGGACACCAGGUUGCCACUCCAAACCCCUCCCACCCAAAAACCUGUAGCCAUAGAAACCGAACCACCUGACCUUCAGUUUACCCAGCAGCAUUUGCUGACCGCCAAGCAACCCUUGAACCCCGUAGCCUUACGGAACGCUGAUGUCAUGUUGGCCGAUGCUGUCACAUCCUUAAUGUUCUCACAGCACCGCUGCUGUCAUUUCCUGUUCAGCAGGCUGUCCGCUGAUGUGAAGUGGAGGUUAAUCCGUAGACCCGUCUCUUAAUCCCUGGUGUCGUAGAAUAACCCUCAGCAGUGUUCAUUGAGCUCGAAACAGAAGACGACACGGAACCUUCAGAGGUGUUAGGUGAACCUACUGUCCCGUGAGGAGCGUCUGUUUCCUUGAUCCAGCCGUGGGUGGUUGGUUUGAUGGUGUGUGGCCUUUUAACUGUGCUUUGUAUUAAUGGUCUUGAUGAGAUUAAUUAAUAAAUCAG
ensembl:lncRNA